UCUUUUGGGAGCUUGCUCCCGGCUGAUCUAGUGGCGGACGGGUGAGUAACACGUGAGCAACCUGCCAAAAAGUGGGGGAUAACGUCUGGAAACGGACGGUAAUACCGCAUAUAAUGCCGAAGGGGCCUCCCUUUGGUAUGAAAGGAGCAAUCCGCUUUUUGAUGGGCUCGCGCCCGAUUAGGUAGUUGGUAGGGUAAUGGCCUACCAAGCCGACGAUCGGUAGCCGGACUGAGAGGUUGAACGGCCACAUUGGGACUGAGACACGGCCCAGACUCCUACGGGAGGCAGCAGUGGGGGAUAUUGCACAAUGGGGGAAACCCUGAUGCAGCGACGCCGCGUGAGUGAAGACGGUCUUCGGAUUGUAAAGCUCUGUCUUCAGGGACGAUAAUGACGGUACCUGAGGAGGAAGCCACGGCUAACUACGUGCCAGCAGCCGCGGUAAUACGUAGGUGGCAAGCGUUAUCCGGAAUUACUGGGUGUAAAGGGAGCGCAGGCGGGGCUCCAAGUUGGAUGUGAAAUGCCGCGGCUUAACCGCGGAGCUGCAUCCAAAACUGGGACUCUUGAGUGAAGUAGAGGUAGGCGGAAUUCCUAGUGUAGCGGUGAAAUGCGUAGAUAU
rnacentral:rRNA from 1 species